CCUACGGGAGGCAGCAGUGAGGAAUAUUGGUCAAUGGCCGGAAGGCUGAACCAGCCAUGCCGCGUGAGGGUCAGUGCCCUUUGGGCGUUAAACUUCUUUUGUGCGGGAGCAAUAAUGGUCUCGUGUGGCCAGACGAGAGUGCCGUCCGAAUAAGCAUCGGCUAACUCCGUCCCAGCAGCCGCGGUAAUACGGGGGAUACAAGCGUUAUCCGGAUUUACUGGGUUUAAAGGGUGCGUAGGCGGCCUUUUAAGUCAGCGGUGAAAGUCUGUGGCUCAACCAUAGAAUUGCCGUUGAAACUGGGAGGCUUGAGUAUGUUAGAGGCAGGCGGAAUGCGUGGUGUAGCGGUGAAAUGCGUAGAUAUCACGCAGAACCCCGAUGGCGAAGGCAGCCUGCCAGGCCAUGACUGACGCUGAUGCACGAAAGCGUGGGGAUCAAACAGGAUUAGAUACCCCAGUAGUC
rnacentral:rRNA from 1 species